rnacentral:SRP_RNA from 1 species
GCUGGGCGCGGUGGCCCACGCCUGUAAUCCCAGCACUUUGGGAGGCUGAGGCGGGUGGAUCACCUGAGGUCAGGAGUUCAAGACCAGCCUGGCUGACAUGGUGAAACCCCGUCUCUA